AUCUGUCUUUAGUGGGGACAACCCAGGGAACUUGGGCUAAUACCGCAUGAGCCCUGAGGGGGAAAGCGGGGGAUCUUCGGACCUCGCGCUAAGAGAAGAGCCUACGUCUGAUUAGCUAGUUGGUAGGGUAAAGGCCUACCAAGGCGACGAUCAGUAGCUGGUCUGAGAGGACGACCAGCCACACUGGGACUGAGACACGGCCCAGACUCCUACGGGAGGCAGCAGUGGGGAAUUUUUCGCAAUGGGGGCAACCCUGACGAAGCAAUGCCGCGUGGAUGAAGAAGGCCUUCGGGUUGUAAAGUCCUUUCGUGGGGGACGAAAAGG
rnacentral:rRNA from 1 species